GCAUAAUCAUUAGUUUUUUAAUUGAAGACUUGAAUGAAGGGUUGGACGAGAAGCUAGCUGUCUUUAUUGAAAGCGUUGAAUUUAACUUUUAAGUGAGAGGGCUUAAAUGUUUUGAAGGGACGAUAAGACCCUAUAAAAUUUAACAAUUGUAAAUUAAUGGGGGAAAUAGUAUAAAGUUAAAAGUAUUAUUAGAGGGUAUAUUGUUUUGUUGGGGCGAUAGGAAUAAAAAGUAAAUUAACUGUUCUUUAAUUGAACUUAGUGAUGAUUAAGGUUUAUGAUCCUCAUUAGGGAUUAAAAGAGUAAAUUACUUUAGGGAUAACAGCGUAAUUUUUUUUGAGAGUUCUUAUCGAUAGAGAAGUUUGCGACCUCGAUGUUGAAUUAA
rnacentral:rRNA from 1 species